rnacentral:rRNA from 1 species
UACGAAGGGUGCAAACGUUGCUCGGAAUUAUUGGGCGUAAAGCGCACGUAGGCGGCAUUGCAAGUCGGAUGUGAAAUCCCUCGGCUUAACCAAGGAAGUGCAUCCGAAACUGCAGUGCUUGAGUACUUAAGAGGAUCGCGGAAUUCCCGGUGUAGAGGUGAAAUUCGUAGAUAUCGGGAGGAACACCAGUGGCGAAGGCGGCGAUCUGGGAAGAUACUGACGCUGAGGUGCGAAAGUGUGGGGAGCGAACAGG